rnacentral:lncRNA from 1 species
GUUAGUUUUUAGAGUAGUGGAAAUUUAAACCAAUCAAAUGUGUUGUUAAUCUGUAAGGCUGCGAGCACUGGACGCAGCACUUCACUUUUACACGCAUGUAUGGUGGCCGGCAACUACUUUUACGCACAGCUUGUUUUGUCUCUCUCUCUUCUCUCUCUCUCUCUCUCUCUCUUUCUCUCUCUCCCUUCUCUUCUCUCUCUCUCUCUUUCCUCUCUCUCUCUCAUAAAUUUUUGGCAUGGGAAACAUACAUGUACAUUGCCAAAGCAAGUGAAAUAAACAAUCAAAAAUGAAAAGUAAUCAUUACACUCACAAAAGUUCCAAAGGAAUAUAUAGAACAACUCACACAGAGGAAUCAACAUGUAAAACCACCUUUUAUUAUUUUCAUUGGAUAAGCAUACCAAUUUGUUGUUUUCUAAUAGGUUUUCUGUCUGAAAUGCUUUAACCAAUGAUGACAACUUUUAACAACAGUUUGAUUUAUAAAACCUUAGAGCUCAAGUAAAUAUAGUGUUUUUGCCUACCUAUCAUCGAUGGGUGGUCUUGAAACGGUAUACAGACAGAGACAUGGCUGUCUAUCACCACUAGGAGGUGGUCUUGAAACGGUAUACAGACAGAGACAUGGCUGUUCAUGUGGCCAUAUACUGUAUAUUAUUAUGUUUUUAGAUAGAGAUUUUAUUGGGAUCCCCAUUAGCCGACUCCAAUGGCGACAAUGGCUAGUCUUCCUGGGUUCCGACACAUAACGAAAAAGACAUUACAGACAACAAUACUUAACGAUUGACAAACAUUUUAAAACGUUAAUAUGUAGGGGAGAGGGGUUGUGUUGUGAGAUGUUGUUUUAUUCGUUUUUUUAAAGCUAAUUUAGCUGUUUGUUUGACUACUAAUAAAACAAAUGCAGACUGAACGGUAUGCUAUUUUCAUACCAUAAUAAUAGCAUUGUGUUUUAGUCCACUGAUUGAUAAAGCCUCAUGGUGAUGCACCAUCGAGAGCAUCCUGACCGUUUGCAUCACCGCCUGGUAUGGCAACUGCUCCGCAUCUGACCAUAAGGCGCUACAGAGGGUAGUGUGUACGGCCCAGUACAUCACUGGGGCCAAGCUUCCUGCCAUCCAGGACCUCUAUACCAGGCGGUGUCAGAGGAAAGGCCAUAAAAUUGUUAGAGACUCCAGUCAGCCAAGUCAUAGACUGUUUUCUCUGCU